AAUAGGGCUGGGGAAUGAGCUCCGGAGGUCAAUAAAGCCCUCCAAAAAUGAUGAAUGAUUGAGCACCUGUGAUGAUGAUAGUGAUUACCAGAGCAAUUAAACAGUUUGAUUAAAUGAGCCAUCAUAACAAUGAUGUCUGCGGGAAAUCGGCCCUCACAUAUAAAGAAAGAUAGUACGGAGGGGCUGGCAGAGGCGCGGACAGCGCGACGCCAGGGAGAGGGACGGUGGACCGCGAGAUUUUUGCCCGGGUGGCCCAAGCGGGGACGGCCAGGCUCGCGGAGCUUCAGAUAGAACAGUUUAGCCCAGAUUUUCAGCCACUCUUUUUGCCAGGCUACAAGCCUGCAAGAGCCGACGGGUAUGAAACCUGAAGGUUGGGGGAGGGUCCUUUCCUCUCCACCCCUUUUUUUUUUUUUUUUUUUUUUUCUAGAAGAACUCCAAGAUUAAAAGUAUCCUCCUUAUUUGUUGCUGAGUUGCUCGUCGGCAUAUUAGAAAAGCGUCUCCGCUGGAGGUGGUUUGGAGAGGCUUAAAACUGCAUUUGUGAAGUUUGGAGGAAGGAAAUCAGACACUGGCGUCACGGCUAGUGGACCCCAGCUAAGUUUCAGGAUUCCUUCUGCGUCUGAUAAAAAAGACAGGGACACUUCUGGACUAGCUGUAAGGAUGUGUUUUCGUUUCCAUAACUCUGAAGUACUUUUUAUAAACCUUUUAAUGUAUUUGAAUAAGUUUAUUUGGACAUUUAAAAAAGCUACACAGAUGAAGGUAGCUUGGCUUUAUGCCGUCAAUCCCAGAGUUAAAAAAAAAAAAAAAAUCCAGAAUCUAACCGAGAAGCUUUUCCAUACCCAUUCUCGCCUCUAAAUAAAUAAAUAAAUAAAAAUAUAAAUAAAUAUAUAUAUAAAUAAAAAAUAAAAUAAAAAGUGCAAAGCGAGUUGCCAGCCUGCAUCUGUACGUCUUCGUGUGCGCAUUUAUAAACAUCUUCCAGUCCGUGUUUGCGUGUCACCUCCUUCCUGCCAUGCACUCGAAGGCAGAGGCAUCGAGGGAUCGCCCCCAGAGAGCUGUGUUUACUUAGGUUUUUUUUAAUCUCUCCGCCAUGUAUGACAAGUGUUACUUCAAGAAAUUCAUCAGCCUUCUACAGAUACUUCCAGUUUUGCCGUAAUGAUCUGCAGAAGAGAACUGCCAUCACUUUCUCACAUCUCAAGGUGUUGCAGGAACUCAGAGAGAGGGGAGAGUGGCUGAAACGCUUAAUUACCGUGCAGGAGGGAGGGGCACAUUGCGGGGGACCGAAGGAGGGGAGAGUGAGGAAGGAGGUCCCUUACCCGGCUAGUACCUGCAGAAAUCUCCGAGUUGCUUCUCUGCGAAUAUUUGGAAAAGGUACGGUUGCCUUUUUUUUUUUUUUUUAAUGCCUUUAGGGAGAAGUGAUACCCUUGUGUAACAAUUAGCUUAGACAAUAAAAAUAAUUGGAAAAUCA